AGUAGAGAUGGGGUUUCACCAUGUUGGUCAGGCUGGUCUCAAACUCCUGACCUCAGGUCAUCCGUCCA
rnacentral:miRNA from 1 species